CUGAAGUCAAAAGGGGGAGUGCUGGCCCUGCAUGUGCACCCUCCUGCCUUCAUCCACACACACCUGUGCACCUUUCGAGGCGAGGCUUCCCUCGCCUACAAUUUUCACAAACUCUUAUGUACGACGCGGAACGUAGUCGCGGCGACGCCGCAAAACCUAUACA
rnacentral:misc_RNA from 1 species